GGCUGGGCACCGGCCGCCGAGCCCCGACUCAUCCGCCGCGCCAGGACCGCCCGUGCGAGACGCGCGGUGCCGGCGGCGCAGCGCGAGGGCCGUGAAUACUCAACAUGGGGAGAAGGUGAAGAGGAUAUGUCUAGAUGUUAUAAAGAAUUAGGCAGCUUAGUACAGAAGUAUAGGCUAUGCUGUGUGGCUGCUUGUCAUGUUUCUUUGAUUACCCGUGUAGGUGAGGAAUGGGGACUUCUUUGUCGCUUGGGGAUCGACUGCCAGUGCAGCCUGCAUGUUUGACCCUGAGGGUGAAAGCUGUUGGCCACGCUGCCUCUCUGGCCAGAAGAAUCAGUGGGUAUAUCCACGCUGUGGUUUCUCAGCAAUUUGGACACUUCUGCGAUACUGCUCUGGAAGUCCUGGGUUCUGACAAAGAUGAGUUUGUGUCUUUUCCACUGUACCCUAGCUUCCUGUCCUCUCAUCAGCAAUUGGUGAGACCACCAGUAGCUGACUGUCAGUUUGAUAUCUUGCUAAUACUCUCUCCACACAGUUUUACAACAAAUGUGCUUUCCAGGGAUCCCUCUUUUUUUUUUCCCAUAAGGCACCCUGUUGACAAUUCUGAGUCAGAAGACAUUGACAGUACUAUCAUUUUCAGGGAUAAGGAAGGUACAAGAUGGCAAGAACUGGAGGCUCACAGUGAAAAGCAAACAUAAAACUGAUGACAGCUGGCUUUAUGUGCAUGAGAAGCACUCUGAAAAGUGUCAUACACUCUACAUUUUUAGAUCUUUCGGCUGGUACCUCUGUACUUGCUACACACUAGUGGGAGGAUUUAACAGAGGUGUAGCCCUCCAGCUGUGUUUAGGCCCUAGUAUCUGUAUUAACAAUGUAAUAUGCACAUGCUUCCAGUUUUCUUGUAUUGGAAAGGUGCAUUGAAAAGGGAAGUGAAAUUUCCGUGCACCAAAACUGCACUGUGAAAAGAAUAAAAGCACAACAAGUGGGGAUAAUAAGAGAUUUGCCUUGGCCGUGCACUGCUGGUAUGAGAGAAAAUGCUAUAGCAGUCAUACCCUUAGUUUGGAAACCUGACACAUUAAUCAGUUUUUAAUGUGUGUUACAGUUUGGUUACAUUAAGUUCCUUAUGGACCAGUAUCAAGCACAGCAGUAUCAAUAAUGAUUUUUAUAAUGACAUUAAUAUAAAUCCCCACUGCAGUUUUUUGCAUCUCUUGAGUAAUAACAGUCCAGUAAACAAGGCAGUCAUCAUUCUUCACUAUAUGGUAUAACAAAUGUGAAAACACUGUGUAGGUGUAUGUUAGACUACAUUAUAUUGUAAACAAACAAAUGCAGAUUAUUUUUUGGUUGCAAGGUGAAAUUUGAGAUUAUGCUAGCCACUGAGAAUCCACUUUUCUAUGUAAAAAUGUGGCAGUGCCAGAGCCUCCUGAUUCUAAGCAGUUUUGUACAGAUAUCAGAGAAGGCAUCCAGCUGUCUGGGUUCACGUCAGGCUUUAAAAUUUUUCCCUUAUGAGCUAAAAGGCAGAAGAGUGAGGGUUGGAUGGAAUUAUCCCCUUGUUCUGUUCUGAUUAAUUCAAUCCACUGCAGAAAGUGACGAAGGAUAAAGUAAUUAAUUGUUCACCUGGAGCUGGUUAGGAAUCGUUACUUUCUUGCACUCUGGUGUCCUGUGGGAUCAGUGUAUGUACUUAUCUUUACCACACUGUGGCUGGACUUCGUAACUACUGUGAUGACCGAAUGAGCAUUGCCCUUUCUAUGAAAACAGCAACAACAAAACCAGUUAGCUGAAGUAGAAAAUAAAUGUCAUUUUGGGAAUGCAACUCACAGCAGUCUUUGUGAAAACUCUAUUACCAUGUUCACUGUGAACACAUAAUUUUUUUACAUUUUUGGGGGACUGUCCACUCUGAAGAACAUAUGCCUAGUAGAUCUUCAUUUGUAUUCAACAUGUGGUUAUAAAUCAAAUCACCCACUUGUUUACAAAGAUUCAUAUUUUUUUGUUGAAGCCAAAUGGGAAUACUUCUUUGCUACACUGGACUAGAGUAGACCAGUAUAGGGUCUCUUGGUCUAGCCUUUGCAAACAGCAGCCUGUGUUUGUGUUUUAAUGCUUUUAAUAUAGAUUCAAAUGCUAUCAAACAGAUAGUUUUAUGAAACAAAGCAAAACAAAAAAAACUGUGCAGUGGGAGAUAUAGUAUAUGAUCAAGGGCAGUGUGGCCUGCCUUUUACAUAAGUAUGUUCAGUUUUGCAUGGCACUCUUUUCCCCCAUUGCAGUGAGCCUAGAGAAAAACGUAUAUUCAGCCUCUCGUGUAUUUUCAUUCCUUUCUUAAUUUGUUUGCUCAGAUCUGAAAAACUCAAAACCUCUUACAUACUAAAUCUCAGAAACUGUUGCAAUUCUGUGUACUUUUGCAUUUUGGUAGUAUCUUAACAUGAGAGGUGUAUCAAAAGACUCAGGAGUGUAUGGCCCCUUCUGUGUAGGCAGAAUCUUAUUUACUGGACAUUCUGUGAAGGUCUUGAGUUCAUUUUCACUGUCAUGUGACACCUCUGAUCAGCUAGAGGCACCACUGUUUUAACAACCACAAGCAUGAAGUCUUUCUGUGCCAACAAUAUCUAAUGAGCUUUCACAGCAAAAGACCCCUAACAGUGUGGGAGCAUCUGAGCCAUCUCAGGUGUGCAGAGAACCCUCACCAGGCUGCUAGCAACAGUACCAUUGGUAGGACCAGCCAAGAGCAUGGGGUGACAACGUAGCGGGCCCUGGACACACUUGGGUUAGUUAAGGCAAAGGUCAGAACUCAAGGAGAAAAGUGAAUGAACAAGAAAUGUGGCUUAGGCAGCCAUUAGAAUGAAGAGUCAAUAAGACAUUUUGGAGUUGUUCUUUGGGGUCAUCUUUUUUUAUUUUUGUUUUUGCUUGCUUACCCCAAACACUGAGUUUGCUCAAAGCAUGUGAUGCAUAAAAUGCAAGACUACCCCUACUGCAAGGGCUCCUCUAUCAAAGUAUCAUUGUGGGGUUUUUUUUACAAGUUUAUACAAUUUUACUGUGUUACAAUCUGUUAAACACCCUUCCAUAUUUGCACACUUGCACAUUUUAAUAAAAAAUGUUUUCCUCUCAUGUUUUCCUGGAAUUUAAUGCAACACUUGAUGAAGAGUAUAAAGUAGAGGUUUUUUUCAAAAAUUGAGAGAUGUAAAAAAUUUAAAUGUUACUAGUUUCUGGUGGUCACUUUUUUUUUCCUUUCUAAUGAGAGUCAUCAAAAAGAUGCCUCUGAAAUAUAAAAGUUAACUUUGGACAUUUGAGUCUUGAAGAUUUUAUGGAAAGAGUAAAGAAAAAGAAUUUAUUUUUAAAAAGAUAACUUAAAGUCCUUUCAAUUCAUUAUGCUUGGGAAUUACUUGAAAUAACUAAAUUACUCAAAUAAGGAAAUAAUGUGCUUAGAAUUAAGUUUAAACAUUUGGUUACUCAUACAAGAAUUUUUUUGAGAUGAAAAUAUACAAUAUUAAUUGUAGUCUUAUUAGAAUGUAAUUUUAUUCUUCACUUAGAAGAAAUAACUGAAAAAAAAACUCUUUUGAACUAAUGAUUGAUGAAAAUGGUUGAAAUAAUGUUGCAGAUUAUGAACUAGUGAUUGAUGCUCAUGUUAAUAUGAUUAUGAAUAAGCUAUGUACUGUUGGUAAGAGAUUUUUUACAGUAUUAGUCACGUUUCUGUUUUCUGAAGAAGUGCAGGAUGCCUGCACUUACCAAUUCAUUAUAUCAAGCACAGACAAAUGAAAAAAUAAAUCAUAACCCUAAGUGUGAUAAUUUAGUAGAUAAUUCCCAUAAAACUUUUAUAUUACUAUAUUCAUUGAGCUGUUGUUUUCUAAACAUAAACAUAAAUUUCAGAUCCUGUUCAUUCUUGCUGAGCAUUAACUGCUAUAUGCCAGCUGAGGUAUUUUCUUAAUCUGUUGUGAAUCUUAGAAAUCCUAUUGCACUUCAGAACUUGGUCUGUGUUUCAGAAGGUAUUAAAAGCAAUAUAUGUAUAAACUGCAGUCUUACUUUUCAACACUUCUAAGAAAACCAUGAGUUGAAUUUCUGAAUUUUGUUCAAGGUUUUAGAUGAACACAUUUUAAAAUUAUCAUGGUUAAAUGCAUGUGUCAUGAAUUAGAAUUAUUUUAAGUAACUGUAGCAUGUUUUGUCUUUUAUUUUUGGCAAGAUAUAGAGGGAACUGUAAAAUCUAGAUUGUGCAUAUUGCUCAUUGCCAGCUUCAGUGUCUCUUCAAAUACAACAUUAUCAUCCAAAGGAGAAUAAAUACUGUUUUUGAAAAUAAGAGAACAGAACCAUCAAGUGCAAAGAUUUUAUCCAGAAUCACACACUGGGCCAUUAGAAGAACAAGAAAUUUGCAUCCUCGUGUUCAGAACUAUGAUUGGAAUAUCUGACUUCUGUGUCUUGGAUGCUGCUGCUGCAUCUAGCGGUUGAGUUGUACAGCAAAGGAAGGCUUUAUGGCAGUGUGCAAAGAUUAGGCAUGGGAUGUCCCAGUAUCCUCAGCCACACAUUUUGUAUGUAAAGACUGCCACACAGAAUCCUUCUAUUAUGCCAUAUAAAAUGCCAGAUCAUGACCAAAAGAGAGGUAGACAAAGCAAAAUCAGUAAAGGAGAGAUUUAUUGGAAUGACCGAAACAGUGAAGAAAUGCAGAGAGAGGUCUUACUGUCAUGAACGGGCACCUCAUAAACCCUGUCCUGUGUGGAAUGGUGCAUGUAAGUGUUCAGCAAAACAAAUAGAAGGUGUCUUACCAUGUUUCCCAAACCUAAGCAGAUGAAUGACACUCUGAAGUUGGUAUGAUCAACCCUACACCUUUGCAGUCUUGAGCGAUGGACUAACUGCUCAGAGCUGCUUUCAAGCACCAUCUGUUGUCACAUGAUUCUGCAUGCCAGAUCCUCAUAAAAAGUCUUUCUUGGUUUUAGAAACUGAAGAGUGAAAAAGUUAUUAGAAGAUUUCAAACCAAGGGAACUGAAUAUGUAAUGAGCACAAUGAAUUAAAGAAGCAUUCUAUGCUCUCUGCUUUUCAUAGCCAUGGAUUGAACACUCCUCUGCAUUAAG
ensembl:lncRNA